AUUCCCUAUAUACACAAACAUAUGUUGGAUAUGCUCCAACUCACCAGGCACAAUGACUGACAUAUGGUGGGGGCUGUCCCACAAUAAUUAAAAUCUGAACGCAUGUCAUACAACUUACAAAAACAACCACCACAAUAGAUAUAAAUAGUACAGCAGAAACAGUAUUGCUAUUCCAUUUCCUUGCCUCAAUCACCAAAUCAACAAAAUACUUGAUCUUCCAUAAUUUGAUAGCAGCCUUAACCUUAAUUGGGAGAAAUUGGAAAACAUAUAUAAUACCAAUAAUC